rnacentral:rRNA from 1 species
GACAGAGGCCUCGAGCGUUAGGCGGAAUCACUGGGCUUAAAGCGUGUGUAGGCGGGCCCGUAAGUGUCUUGUGAAAUCCCACGGCUCAAACGUGGAACUGCUGGGCAUACUGCGGGUCUUGGGCCAACUAGGGGCAGCCGGAACAAGCGGUGGAGCGGUGAAAUGCGUAGAUAUCAGUUGGAACGCCAAUGGUGAAAACAGCUCGCUGGGGGUUUGCUGACGCUGAGACACGAAAGCCAGGGGAGCAAACGGG